rnacentral:rRNA from 1 species
GACAGAGGGGGCAAGCGUUGCUCGGAAUCACUGGGCGUAAAGGGCGCGUAGGCGGGUCCGCAAGUCGAUCGUGAAAUCCUUCGGCUCAACUGGAGGGGGUCGGUCGAUACUGCGGGUCUUGAGGGAUGCAGAGGAGACUGGAAUUCCCGGUGUAGCGGUGAAAUGUGUAGAGAUCGGGAGGAACACCGGUGGCGAAGGCGGGUCUCUGGGCAUCUCCUGACGCUGAGGCGCGAAAGCGUGGGGAGCAAACGGG